CCUACGGGUGGCAGCAGUGAGGAAUAUUGGUCAAUGGACGAGAGUCUGAACCAGCCAAGUAGCGUGAAGGAUGACUGCCCUAUGGGUUGUAAACUUCUUUUAUAUGGGAAUAAAACGUUCCACGUGUGGGAUUUUGUAUGUACCAUAUGAAUAAGGAUCGGCUAACUCCGUGCCAGCAGCCGCGGUAAUACGGAGGAUCCGAGCGUUAUCCGGAUUUAUUGGGUUUAAAGGGAGCGUAGGUGGUUUGUUAAGUCAGUUGUGAAAGUUUGCGGCUCAACCGUAGAAUUGCAGUUGAAACUGGCAGUCUUGAGUACAGUAGAGGUGGGCGGAAUGCGUGGUGUAGCGGUGAAAUGCAUAGAUAUCACGAAGAACUCCGAUUGCGAAGGCAGUUCACUGGACUGCAACUGACACUGAUGCUCGAAAGUGUGGGUAUCAAACAGGAUUAGAUACCCCAGUAGUC
rnacentral:rRNA from 1 species